GUAAGAAUAGGUUUUUUUUUCUUGAAGAUUUCCCCUUUGGGUGUAUUUGGAGGGCUCUGACACUUAAGGCAGUUUCAGGUUGAAUUAGAGCCUACUUUUUCAGAGAAACAUUGAUGCUGAUCUGAAGGCUUCAGGAAACAGUAAUAUUAUGCAAUUGGUGUCACUAGGCAAACAUGUCAAACCAGGCGUUAGCUGUCAGUUGGCUGUCAGUGUUGCCAAAGGCUGUGAGCUUGAUUCUCAAGCUAUCACUGAUGGAGCACAUCAGCUGUGCCCACGACUGCAGGCGUAUUAUCGAGGUGCACCAAAAGAAGAUCUGUUCUGUGGACAACUAAAUUAUCCACACGCUUGUGGAGAACAGUGUAGAAGAGAGAUCAUCUUUCCAGGAACUAGAGUGUAUAUUUAUCACAACAGAAGAUACUCCCUGCCAAAGUAAAACAGCAACCUAUUUCUUUCCAUCAGCAAAACAGCACUUUCUCCAGGAGUGGAAGAUGGUUCUAAAAGAAGCCAGUCAAAGCUGAACAAACAAUAUUCUUACCCUAUCUAUCCAGCAUCCGCCAUGUACUUCUGAUGAAAAUCAUUCAUUUCAUUCCUGGAGAGAGGCCAAAAACCAUUUGGCAUCUUUCUUCUCUUCCAUUGUCUUUAUUUCCUGUUCUACUGAUAGAGACCCUUACAUCUAAGGCAGAGUUAGCUUGAGAUCAGCUAUAUGGAUGAAACAGAGAAAGUCAUUCCAAACUGUACAGUUGAUAGGAACUAGAGUUAUUAACCAAUAGGUAUUUAAGUAAAAUGCAUUAUAAUCUAAAGGGGGUAUGAUGAAGUUUAUAGGUCUCUGUAAAAGAUCCCAAUAAGUUAAAAAAAAAAAAAUCAAGGAAUUAUUUUUCAGUAGUAGCAAUCAUAACAAUUAUAGUAAUAAACAUAUAAUGAGCAGCUUUUAGGAAAAUAAAAAGGUGAAAUUUCUUCCUCAUCAGUAUGUAGUGCUGCAUCAGUAAAACAGCGUGAGAUUUCUCUCUGAGCAGUGCUAAUUCACUGCAAACAAGAGUUUGGCCUCAGCCAGUAUGCAUGCACUUCAAACAGAUAGGUCAGUAGCAAAGCCAAAUGUACCAGCUGGUUUCAGACAGGAGUUGUUCAAAGUUCAUACCAUUCAGGCUGUAGAACAGACUCCAAGUAGGAUACCUUGGAGACCGUGACAUCUCAAAGAAGAAAACUCCUAUGUUAUAUUAAAUUAAGCAGAAAGAAAAAAUGUAGUGCUCUUUCCUGUAGAUCUAACAUAAGUGAGUUUAAUUCAAUAAACUUUAAGAGGGAAGAGAUAGGAAGUGUAUUAUAGACCAAAUCUUCAGCCGGAGGAGUGAAUAUCAUGUUUUUUAUUGCUGAUUUAUUUUUUUUUUUACCUGGAUGAUGCUCGUUCAUUAAAGGGGCUCAUCCUUUUAGUUUCAUCAAAGCUGAUUAAGUCCCCUGGGUCUCUUUCUUCAUUAGGCUGACAUGUCUGUCUGAGCCUUUCUUCACCUGCCUUCCUGCCUUUCCUUAUUUCACUACACCCCUAAAUUGUAGAUAUGAAAUCCUAAUUAUGGCUUAAAACCAGUUCCCAAGGCAUUUCUCUGUUCUCAACUCCCAGCCCAGAGCUCUGAGGACAGUGCUCAGCAGCCAUGCUUUGGCUGGAGAGGAAGAUCUGCUGGUCCAGAAGUGCCAGUGCUAAGUCUGUAGAUGCCUCUGACUUCUAGAAAUGAUCAUGAUCAUAUCUGAGAUAGGAUGCUAAUUUUAGGGAGAAAGAAAAUAGAUAAAUAGAGAAAAGGAUGAAAGAAAAGCAUCAACUGCUCUUGUCACUCCCAGUGAUAAGCUGAGGGAGAGAAGGCUUUAUUAAUUCCAAGAUGUCAUGUUCACUGAGAAGAUGUGACAUAUUCUUCAAUGAAGAUA